rnacentral:rRNA from 1 species
UACGGGGGGAGCAAGCGUUGUUCGGAUUUACUGGGCGUAAAGGGCGCGUAGGCGGUCAGCACAAGUCAGUUGUGAAAUCUCCGGGCUUAACUCGGAAAGGUCAACUGAUACUGUGCGACUAGAGUGCAGAAGGGGCAACUGGAAUUCUCGGUGUAGCGGUGAAAUGCGUAGAUAUCAAGAGGAACACCAGUGGCGAAGGCGAGUCCCUGGACAACACCUGACACUGAGGCACGAAAGCUAGGGGAGCAAACAGG